GGCGGUUUGUCGCGUCUGCUGUGAAAACCCGAGGCUCAACCUCGGGCCUGCAGUGGGUACGGGCAGACUAGAGUGCGGUAGGGGAGAUUGGAAUUCCUGGUGUAGCGGUGGAAUGCGCAGAUAUCAGGAGGAACACCGAUGGCGAAGGCAGAUCUCUGGGCCGUAACUGACGCUGAGGAGCGAAAGGGUGGGGAGCAAACAGGCUUAGAUACCCUGGUAGUCCACCCCGUAAACGUUGGGAACUAGUUGUGGGGUCCAUUCCACGGAUUCCGUGACGCAGCUAACGCAUUAAGUUCCCCGCCUGGGGAGUACGGCCGCAAGGCUAAAACUCAAAGGAAUUGACGGGGACCCGCACAAGCGGCGGAGCAUGCGGAUUAAUUCGAUGCAACGCGAAGAACCUUACCAAGGCUUGACAUACACGAGAACGCUGCAGAAAUGUAGAACUCUUUGGACACUCGUGAACAGGUGGUGCAUGGUUGUCGUCAGCUCGUGUCGUGAGAUGUUGGGUUAAGUCCCGGAACGAGCGCAACCCUCGUUCUAUGUUGCCAG
rnacentral:rRNA from 1 species